rnacentral:rRNA from 1 species
UACGAAGGGGGCUAGCGUUGCUCGGAAUCACUGGGCGUAAAGCGCACGUAGGCGGAUUGCUAAGUCAGGGGUGAAAUCCUGGAGCUCAACUCCAGAACUGCCUUUGAUACUGGCGAUCUCGAGUUCGGGAGAGGUGAGUGGAACUGCGAGUGUAGAGGUGAAAUUCGUAGAUAUUCGCAAGAACACCAGUGGCGAAGGCGGCUCACUGGCCCGAUACUGACGCUGAGGUGCGAAAGCGUGGGGAGCAAACAGGA